rnacentral:lncRNA from 1 species
UCUCUCUCUUUCUGACUCUCUCUUUAAUCUUUUAAUCUAAUUCUAAUAAUGUAAAAAAUGGAAGAUAGAAAAGAAGUAUUACGUAGAUAAUAUCAUACACGUCUUUAAUCGAGCAUUUUGUUCCCUAAAAGCGUUACCCCUUUUACUAAGGCCUCUUAUGUGUUUGUAAAAGAGUGAGUGAGACAGAUAGGAAAAGAUAUAUAUAUAUAGAGAGAGAGAGAAAGAGAGAGAAGGAUAGAAAGCUUUACGCGCGUUUUAAUGAAACGUGAUAAAAGCAAGGAAGCAAGACGAGCCUUAACGUAGUUUCGUUUAAUACUUCCCCUACGUUCGACGUCCUUUGAUUCACCUCCUCCCACCCCCUUCUCCGUCAGCUCUUUCCCUCCAACUUCCCUACCCCCUCGCCUUUAAUCGUAAUUGACGUUCAAAAAACGUUUUUUCAUCUCUGCCAAUUGCAAUCGAUAACUCGAUUGUCGAAGAGAGCUCGUCGAACAAAGGCUACAAAAAUGAAACGCGACUAGAAAGAAAGAAUGAAAGUGUGAGAAAGAGAGAAA